UCCCUGGUGGUCUAGUGGUUAGGACUCAGCACUUUCACUGCUGCGGCCGGGGUUCGAGCCCCAGUCUGGGAA